GCCAGUGGAGGAGGGGGUCAUAGUGAAAGUUUUAUUCUUGCUUAAAAGUUUAUUAUUUAAAUGUUAUUACAUGUAAAUUUUUGUGGGUAAUUAAAAUAUCUUAAUGAUUUAUUUUUAUUCGCAGUAUUUUGGUUUACUAAUCAAGGGGAUUUGGAAUUAGUAAUUUAAUUUAUGAUCGGCAAAAGUCGUGCCAGCUGCCGCGGUUAUACGUAGGAUAGAAAUAAAUUAUAUUAGUUGAAAGUUAAUUUGUUUAUGGGGAAGGUAAAAUAGUUUAAUAGGUAAAAUUUGUUAAACUAAUAUUGUUUUUUGGAUUAAUUAAUGAAGCUUUGAAAAUUGAGUACAAAACUAGGAUUAGAUACCCUAUUAUUUUAAUUGUAAAAUAAUAAGACUUGAGUAGUAUUAGAUAAUUACUUGAAACUCAAAGAAUUUGGCGGUGUUUUAGUCUUUUCAGAGGAAUCUGUCCCGUAAUUGAUAAUACACAUUAAAUUUAGCUUAAUUUUGUAUAAUCAGUUUGUAUACCGCCGUCAUAAGAUUAUCUUUUUAGAGGUUGAAUUUUCUUAAUAUUAUAAGAUAAUAUGUCAGGUCAAGGUGCAGCUCAUGAUUAAGUGGGAGAUGGAUUACAAUAAAUUUAUUUAGAUGGAUGUAUUGUUGCAAUAUAAUACUGAAGGUGGAUUUGAAAGUAAUUUUGUUAAAUUAUGAUAAAAUGAUUUAAGCUCUAGAACAUGUACACAUCGCCCGUCGCUCUCGCUAUUAAGGUGAGAUAAGUCGUAACAGAGUAGUCGUACUGGAAGUGUGUCUAGGAAGA
rnacentral:ncRNA from 1 species